rnacentral:rRNA from 1 species
UACGAAGGGGGCUAGCGUUGUUCGGAUUAACUGGGCGUAAAGGGUGCGUAGGCGGGGUUUUAAGUCAGGGGUGAAAUGCCGAGGCUCAACUUCGGAACUGCCUUUGAUACUGGAACUCUUGAGUCUGGGAGAGGUGAGUGGAACUGCGAGUGUAGAGGUGAAAUUCGUAGAUAUUCGGAGGAACACCAGUGGCGAAGGCGGCUCACUGGCUCGGUACUGACGCUGAGGCACGGAAAGCGUGGGGAGCAAACAGG